UCCAGGGUAGCCUAGUGGACAUGGCAUCUGCCCGGUAAGCGGAACACUGUGGGUUCGAUUCCCAUCCCUGCAA
rnacentral:tRNA from 1 species